rnacentral:rRNA from 1 species
AGCGAACGUUUGCGGCGGGCUUAACACAUGCAAGUCGAACGGGCUGUUCCUUCGGGGGCAGUCAGUGGCGCACGGGUGCGUAACACGUAGGUAAUCAACCCUCUGGUUGGGGAUAACACUUCGAAAGGAGUGCUAAUACCCGGUAUGGCGCAGCGGUCUUCGGAUCGCGGCGAGAAAGACCCGCAAGGGUUGCCAGAGGACGAGCCUGCGGCCCAUCAGCUAGUUGGCGAGGUAACGGCUCACCAAGGCGAAGACGGGUAGCUGGUCUGAGAGGAUGAUCAGCCACACUGGAACUGAGACACGGUCCAGACUCCUACGGGAGGCAGCAGUGGGGAAUAUUGCGCAAUGGGCGAAAGACCUGACGCAGCCACGCCGCGUGAGCGAUGAAGGCC